CCUACGGGAGACAGCAGUGAGGAAUAUUGGUCAAUGGCCGGAAGGCUGAACCAGCCAAGCCGCGUGAAGGACGAAGGUGCCCAGCAUUGUAAACUUCUUUUGUCAAGGUACAAAAUCAGGCUCGAGACCCUGACCGAGGGUCCUUGAAGAAACAGCAUCGGCAAACUCCGGGCCAGCAGCCGCGGUAAUACGGGGGAUGAGAGCGUUAUCCGGAUUUAUUGGGUUUAAGGGGUCCGUAGGCGGACUGUUAAGUCAGCGGUAAAAGCCCGGGGUUCAACCCCGGCGAGCCGUUGAAACUGGCUGUCUGGAGAUGUCGAGAGGUAUGCGGAAUGCGCAGUGUAGCGGUGAAAUGCUUAGAUAUUGCGCAGAACACCGAUUGCGAAGGCAGCAUACCGGCGGCGAUCUGACGCUGAGGCACGAAAGCGUGGGUAGCGAACAGGAUUAGAUACCCUAGUAGUC
rnacentral:rRNA from 1 species